rnacentral:rRNA from 1 species
CCUACGGGAGGCAGCAGUGGGGAAUAUUGGACAAUGGGCGCAAGCCUGAUCCAGCCAUGCCGCGUGAGUGAUGACGGCCUUAGGGUUGUAAAGCUCUUUCGCGAGGGACGCGGUACCUCGACAAGAAGCCCCGGCUAACUUCGUGCCAGCAGCCGCGGUAAUACGAAGGGGGCUAGCGUUGUUCGGAAUUACUGGGCGUAAAGCGCGUGUAGGCGGAUCUUUAAGUCAGAGGUGAAAUGCCAGGGCUCAACCUUGGAACUGCCUUUGAUACUGGAGAUCUUGAGUCCGGGAGAGGUGAGUGGAACUGCGAGUGUAGAGGUGAAAUUCGUAGAUAUUCGCAAGAACACCAGUGGCGAAGGCGGCUCACUGGCCCGGACUGACGCUGAGACGCGAAAGCGUGGGGAGCAAACAGGAUUAGAUACCCUUGUAGUC